rnacentral:rRNA from 1 species
CCUACGGGUGGCAGCAGUGAGGAAUAUUGGUCAAUGGGCGGAAGCCUGAACCAGCCAAGUCGCGUGAGGGAAUAAGGCCCUACGGGUCGUAAACCUCUUUUGCCGGGGAGCAAGGGCCGGGACGCGUCCCGGCCCGGAGAGUACCCGGAGAAAAAGCAUCGGCUAACUCCGUGCCAGCAGCCGCGGUAAUACGGAGGAUGCGAGCGUUAUCCGGAAUCAUUGGGCGUAAAGCGUUCGUAGGCGGUAUGUCAAGUCUGAUGUUAAAGCCCGGGGCUCAACUCCGGUUCGGCAUUGGAUACUGGCAAACUAGAAUGUGGUAGAGGUAAAGGGAAUUCCUGGUGGAGCGGUGAAAUGCGUAGAUAUCAGGAGGAACAUCGGUGGCGAAAGCGCUUUACUGGACCAUUAUUGACGCUGAGGAACGAAAGCCAGGGGAGCAAAUGGGAUUAGAUACCCCUGUAGUC